rnacentral:lncRNA from 1 species
GCAAAAGCCAGCAGCAGUUGGAAUUUACGAAUAGAGCUCUGGGAGAUAAGGGAGGCAGGGGGGGCCAGGUGCGGUGGCUCAUGCCUGUAAUCACAGCAUUUCAGGAGGCCAAGGCAGGUGGGUCACUUGAGGUCAGGAGUUCAAGACCAGCCUAGGCAACAUGGUGAAACCCCGUCUCAGCUAAAAAUACAAAAUUUAGCUAGGUGUAGUGGUGCAUGCCUGUAAUCCCAGCUACUCAGGAGGCUAAGGCAGGGGAAUUGCUUGAACCUGGUAGGCGGAGGUUAGUGAGCUGAGAUCACACAGUUGCACACCAGCCUGGGUAACAGAGCGAGACUCCAUCUCAAAAAAAAAAAAAAGCAGCGAGAGAGCCAGAGGAGACAUAUUUGGAAGUCAUCUGCUUAGAGAACAUAGCUAAAUCCACAGAGCUGUCAACAGAGAAAGCAACAAAAGACCGGGUGGACAAGAUAUGCACUCUAGAAUUUUAAGAUGAUCUACCUGAUCAGACUAAAAGGACCAUAUUUGUGAAUAAUACAAAGUGAAGUUGAAUUGUAGUAAGCAGAUAAGUAGUUAGAAAUUUGAAAAACAAACAUAACAUUUACACUAACAAUGCUUUUGAUUUUUUCCUGAGACUGUUUAUCUUAUUCGUAUACAACUUCUGCAUGGAUAUAUUUAUUUGGCAAAAUAUUCAGACACUGCGGAACUAUGUAGGGUGAAAAGGAAAAGCUUUUCUCUUCCUUUCAUUGCAGUUCAUCCCAAUGAUAACAACUUGGGAUGUACCUUCCUAUAAAAAUGCCUUAGGGUAUUUUUUACUUUUAUUUUGAAAUAAACAAGCCUCCUAAUACCUUUCUGAAAUAGUAUAAUGAGUUCCCACAUACCCUUCACCUAGCUUCACUCAAUGAGAACAUUUCUCAGAGCUGUAGUUUAUUAUUAAUUAUUAUCAUCAAAACCAGGAAACUGACAUUGGUACAGUCAGCUAUGAGUUAAACUAGAGAAAUUAUUCAGAUUUCACCAGUUUUUACAUGCACUCAUUUUUAUGAUGCAUAUAAAGUACUAUGAAAUUGUAUCAUAUGUAUAGAUCGUUAAAUGCUUCAGAUUAAAACAAUUAAAAGUACGUAGAAUAAAAAUUUUCAUAACAGGUGGUAUGAUAUUUGAGGGUAGAUUUGGGAGCAAGCUAAGAAACGUGGCCAUUUGUUAUGUCCCAGCAGAAGUGGACUCUCAGGCGAACAGGCUGUGCGUGGAGAAUUUGUCUGGUAAACAGCAUGCAGGAUGAAUUAUAGCUAAGGGACAAUGGAAGACAGAGGCCAAAGCCAGGAGGGUUGUGAGGUCAGGGGAGAGGACAAAGACUCGCAUCAGCAUGGUGGCAUUUGACAAGCAGAAGAGGCAACUUUUCAGGAGACUAGCGAGCCUGGGAAGUCAGGGGAUCCAUGUUGGUAAUGACAAGAAGAAGAAGAAACUAAAUGUGUGGAAGAGAAAAGGGAGCUAAGCUGGCCAAUAAAUUAAAAGCUAAAGGAAAGGUGAAAGAGGAGGUUAAUGAGGAGAGCAAAGGUGAUGAAGUCAAAUCAUGCUGCUGUGAUCUGGCAUUAGAUGCCCAGUCUGCAUAAUGGAGAUCGCAUCAGGCUGUUUGGUAGAAUGCAAUAUGUGCUAACAUACAUGACGUGCUAAAAACCGUGCCUCAUUCAUAAAAAGGGGCCAAUAAAUGUUAGCCAUUAUCAUCAUGAUCAUCCUCAGAGGAGGAAAAGCUGAACAAUAUUUAUCUUGUGAAUUCGGCUAAAGAUUAGAGAAACAUUUCGAAGCAUGCAUCAAAUAUUUUUCCUUUACUUUUGUAUAACAAUACCAAUUAAAUUAAUAAAGGAAGCAUCACAUUUAUAGUGUAUUUCCAGAAUUAAGGUGGAGACAGCAGGAGUCACCCGAAGAAUGGAAGGAUGGUGCCAAUGACUUGAAAAGGAGUUUAGAAGACACCAGUUUGUGACACAUGUUUCUAUAUAGGAAAAGCAGAAAUUUGGAAGGAGAGCUAACAAGUUCAGCUGAGGCUGAGGACAAUCAACAGGUGAACAAAUAACUAUUCUGUACUCAUUUGUUCUAAAUAGUAAAUUAGUAAUUUUUAUUUACCUAGAAGGUCUCUAUAUAGAAGAAAUGACUUCAUUAUAUCUGUCACCUAUGAGGUGGGAAUUGAAUCCCAGAGGAUAUCGUAUAGGGAGGGCAACUCCAGAUGAACGGAUGGACCAGGAAUAGAAAAAAAAUGUGACUUUUACUUUAUUUUCAGGAGCUGCAGUAUCUAGGAUGGGCCUGGGAUAUAAAGUGAACACUCAAUUCAGAAUACUGUCAUAGAAAGAGAAAUUCUGAAGCAUAGCUUAAAUACAGAAUUGUAACUUUUGCUCUGUCUGUUUCAGUAAUUUUAGGGAGUCCAAGUUGUUAGACCAAAGCAACUCUUAUUAAAGCCUCUUGUCCCCUUGUUUUAGAUCCAGAAGACUACUGUAAGGUUUUCACUAUUCUGAUCAUCCUUAAGUCAUUUUAUCCCAGACAGCUUGACCCUUUGAGCCUCUCCUUCCCCUGUAGCUGGAAAUGUGCUUCUGAUACACUAAUGCUGCCCUCCUCAGCCACUGAGAACCCCAUGAUCCUGCCGUUGGCAGGAACUGAGACACUACCACAAAGCGCCCCAGAGGUGGACCUGUCUUUACCCCACCACUGAGACCAGGGGUCCAAUUCACGUUAAUCCCCACCCCUGCCCUCCAAUAGUCUCAUAACUGAGCUCCCCACCUAUAGUUUCUUCCUAUUCCAAUUAAUUCUACACAGUGUUUCAAGGUUAAUGUUCCCAAUCUUAGCACUUCUGUGGCAGACUCUCCCAUUGGCAAUCAGGUGAAAAUGCAUUAAACCUAGUUAUGCAUUUAAUUACAAGCCCAGCCUCAUUCCCCAACACUACCCUCCAUCGGUAGUCGUAGUGUUUACCCGUAUUUGACCAUUAGCUCUUUCCUAAGCAUUUCUGUGGUAGAUUGAUUGCAAAAAUGACCCCAAUUUUAGAUCUGAAUCUAUACCCUUUGCAAUAUGACUUUGCAGCUCUCCCCUUACGUCUAGGCUAUAUCCUGUGACUUGCUUGGCUCAAUAGAAUGCAAUGAAAGUGAUGAUGUGACAGUUGGGAACCUAGACUUCAAGAGACCUUGCAUGAUUUUACUCUCCCUACCACUCCUCUGCCUUUGUCAUGAGGCUUUGUGUGGGCCAGCCUGUUGCAGUAUGAGACCCACGGAGCAGAGCCGCAUCAGCCCAGCAAUUCGAGCUAAGGCUCUGCAUCUGUACCAGAGCCCAUCCAAGGUCAGUUGCACCACCAGCCUGACUGGCAAUUGACCACACAUGCAUGUGUGAGCCCUAUAAGCUAGACCACAUCAGCAGAACUGCCCAGCCAGCUCAUACCUGGUGAAAAAUGCUACAUUACUUUAAGCCAUUAAAUUUUGGGGUGGCUUAUUAGUUAGCAAUAGCUAACUUAUACAAUGUCUCAGGUUUUUUUUUUCCUUUUUUUUCUUCUCUUGGCCUGUGUUUCUGCUGUCUCCCUGCCUGGGUUGCCCUUUACCUCUCCUACUUGAGAACUCCUAGGGCAGUCUUGUUAUAUGGUUUUGCAGAGGGAAGCCUGACUCCUUUUCUUGGCUUUAAAAGCAGACUUAAUCUAUUUCAACUUAUGUCAAGGAGUUUGCUAUAUCUUAGUUUUUUUCCCAUGAUUUUUCCAUGCUUAUCUUUUCUCAUUUUUAAGAUAUUGAGAGGGUUGGCAUUAGGUGAAUCCCCUUUGCCUGCUCCUGUCUGGUGAAGCUCAGCUAGAAAUAUAAACAAUAAGCCUUCAAGCAUCAUGGUGGCAAGAGCAUCGGAAAAUAUAGUAUCUAUUCACUUAGGAUUUUAUGCAAAUCAUAACUGAAAGGUUAGAAGUGGUCAGAUUGUGUGUCACAGAUAUGAAUGUGUAAGGAUGAUUGUCUGCUUCUUUUGUUGAGCAAGCAUGCAUUGUAAAUGGGAUAAAUAAGCAGAAGCACAGGCAGAAAAGUCAACAGCAGUUCUUGAGGAUUAAGUGAAUUCUCUUUCUAAAAAAUCCGCCCAGCCCAUAUCUCCUCAAGUGUAACUUGCUUUAGAGAUUUGCUUUUAAAUAAUGCGCAAAGAAACCUAAAUAAACACAUCAAGUAGCAUCAUGUCCCAGAAGAAGUGGCUGCAGAAAGCAAAGGGGUUAUUGUGAGUUUGACUCCAGUCACAAAGGAGUCUGUAAAACACAAGAUCCUGGGGUUUUCUCUGUGUUUUUUCUCCCUGACAUCCAGAAGACAUUUUCUCAUCAUAUAACUCCUUGAUACAUUCUGUAAUUUGCCAGGAUUGCAGCCCCCUCUUGAGAUCUGAGCACCCAGCUGUGACUUUCUUGUCUCUAGAGUCAUCCCUGGUAACGGCAGAGCUGCAGUCGUGCAUCCACCGCAGCUUGGCUUUGAUGUCCUGACCCUGCAGCUGUUCUCUGGCUGGGUUAUUUGGGAAAGAAUGAUGAGCUGAGGCUGAGCAAGUCUACAAGUCAGAGAGGGAUGGGAAUGUUCUUGGAUGUAGGAGAAAGCAUCAUUUGGAUGGGCCAUGUUUUC